UGUGUGUGUGUGUGUGUGUUGGUGUGUGUAUGUGUCUUGUGUGUGUGGGUGUAUUUCUUAUGUGUUGUGGUGCAAUUAAUACUAUGCAUGUGCAGCUGCGCUCUAUACGAAUCCAAGUCUCUGGCACUAACUAGAACUAAGUACGCUAAGUGGGUUAACUCUAAUGUUUGAUCACACAGAUUUGGGGGGAAUUGCGGGUUCAGUUCACGGUUCACAUUCGCAGUUCACAGUUCACAGAGUGACAAUUACGCGUGC